GAGGAGCGAACCACACAGGUCCGCUGCUGAGCUGUGUCGGGGCUGCGGCACCUGCAGCAGUCGGGAGCUGGCCCUGUCCUGCUGUCCCUGAGCUUGGGCCCCUUGGAAGCAGGAAUUGUUCUUUUCCACCCCACAAUGGCACCACUUGGGAAGUAAUGGGGGCAGCAGCAUGUAGGUGCUACACUGAGUGUGGAGGCUUCACCUGGGCUGAGCUUGGCUUCACAGAUCACAAAUCUCAGAUAGUCCAGGCUUUUUCUCACCAGAUUUUUUUUCGUCCUCAACCCUUAAUGCUACUGGAGAAGAAAAAGGUGUUUUCUCCUUAUUGAUUUGUAUUCCAAGUUUCCUUUUACUUCCUUUUGGACUUCUUCAUGCUUUCAUUUAAAGCUCAUGAAUUCUGGAGUAGGUGCCUAAAUGUCACCUUGGGCCACAGAUGUCCCUGGUGUUUGGUCACUCUCUAAGCCCGAGGUGAAUGUUUCACUCUCAGAGGCUUUGGUGGCAGUGUGUCUGUAAUCCCUGUGCUGGCUGGAGUGUGAAUGUGCCCAGGAGUACCAGAAAGAAGAACUUGCAUUUCUGGGGUGUUCCUGAGCAGUUCCACUGCCGAGAGCCCUCGUACCCUGCCCUGGUGUUGGCUCUGAGCGAGCCCUCAGCACCAGCCUCAGCCUCAGGGGCUUUGGGCACUGCCUGGGGGUCCAGGAAUAUCCCCUAUGUCACACACCAGUGGCUGUGGGAGCUCUGGGAAGGCCUUGGUAGCUUUACUGAGGCAUGAGAGGCACUGGCUUCUGCUGUGCCUGCCUUGUCCUGUGUGGGGAGGUGAUGUCCCUUCAGGCAGCAGUGAUGCAGUGUCAGCCCCUGCCCACGUGUCCCCUACCUGCCUGUCCCCUGCCCAACCCCCAGGCCAGCAGCCAUCCCUUCCCUUGGCCUUGCCCCCCUUUCCAUUGUUUUGGCUAAGUGUGUGCCCUUUCUUGCAGGAUUUGAAAUUCCUGACGGAGAUGCAGAGAAGCUGAUGUGCCCACAGGAGAUUGUAGAUUACAUUGCAGAUAAGAAGGAUGUUUAUGAAUGAAGCAGUUCCUCAGGGCUGAGAGCUGUCCCACACCAGGCCUGGGCUGGUGCCGGCGCGGAUGGAUGGGAGCGCACACGCUGUCCCGCUGGGGCUUUCAUCUGGAAGCUGCACGUGGAUGUUGUAUUUAAAGCUGUCUGAAUGUGUUGUCCUUUAAAAAACAAGAAAAAAACAGGAAUAAACAGUUAAGACCA